AAAGGAAUAGACGGGGGCCCGCACAAGCGGCGGAGCAUGUGGAUUAAUUCGAUGCAACGCGAAGAACCUUACCUGGGUUUGACAUGCACAGGACGACUGCAGAGAUGUGGUUUCCCUUGUGGCCUGUGUGCAGGUGGUGCAUGGCUGUCGUCAGCUCGUGUCGUGAGAUGUUGGGUUAAGUCCCGCAACGAGCGCAACCCUUGUCUCAUGUUGCCAGCACGUUAUGGUGGGGACUCGUGAGAGACUGCCGGGGUCAACUCGGAGGAAGGUGGGGAUGACGUCAAGUCAUCAUGCCCCUUAUGUCCAGGGCUUCACACAUGCUACAAUGGCCGGUACAAAGGGCUGCGAUGCCGUAAGGCGGAGCGAAUCCUUCUAAAGCCGGUCUCAGUUCGGAUCGGGGUCUGCAACUCGACCCCGUGAAGUCGGAGUCGCUAGUAAUCGCAGAUCAGCAACGCUGCGGUGAAUACGUUCCCGGGCCUUGUACACACCGCCCGU
rnacentral:rRNA from 1 species